rnacentral:rRNA from 1 species
CCUACGGGUGGCUGCAGUAGGGAAUCUUCGGCAAUGGACGAAAGUCUGACCGAGCAACGCCGCGUGAGUGAAGAAGGUUUUCGGAUCGUAAAACUCUGUUGGUAGCGAAGAACGUUGGUGAGAGUGUAAAGCUCAUCAAGUGACGGUAACUACCCAGAAAGGGACGGCUAACUCCGUGCCAGCAGCCGCGGUAAUACGUAGGUACCGAGCGUUGUCGGGAUUUCUUGGGCGUAAAGCGAGGGCGGGGGCUUGAUAAGACCUGGUGUAAAAGUCAGUGGCUCAACCAGUGUAUGCAUGGGAAACUGGUGGACUUGAGUGAAGGAGAGGAGAGCGGAAUUCCAGGUGUAGCGGUGAAAUGCGUAGAUAUAUGGAGGAACACCGGUGGCGAAAGCGGCUCUCUGGACUGUAACUGACACUGAGGCUCGAAAGCGUGGGGAGCAAACAGGAUUAGAUACCCUAGUAGUC